rnacentral:tRNA from 1 species
GCCUAGUUAGCUUAGUUGGUAGGACGUCUGCCUUGUAAGCUCUAGGCCGCGGGUUCGAUUCCCGCCCGGGGCG